rnacentral:rRNA from 1 species
GAUGAACGCUGGCGGCGUGCUUAACACAUGCAAGUUGAACGAAGCACUUUAUUUGAUUUCCUUCGGGACUGAUUAUUUUGUGACUGAGUGGCGGACGGGUGAGUAACGCGUGGGUAACCUGCCUUGUACAGGGGGAUAACAGUUGGAAACGGCUGCUAAUACCGCAUAAGCGCACGGCAUCGCAUGAUGCAGUGUGAAAAACUCCGGUGGUAUAAGAUGGACCCGCGUUGGAUUAGCUAGUUGGUGAGGUAACGGCCCACCAAGGCGACGAUCCAUAGCCGACCUGAGAGGGUGACCGGCCACAUUGGGACUGAGACACGGCCCAAACUCCUACGGGAGGCAGCAGUGGGGAAUAUUGCACAAUGGGCGAAAGCCUGAUGCAGCGACGCCGCGUGAGCGAAGAAGUAUUUCGGUAUGUAAAGCUCUAUCAGCAGGGAAGAUAAUGACGGUACCUGACUAAGAAGCACCGGCUAAAUACGUG